UACGUAGGGUGCGAGCGUUUAAUCGGAAUUACUGGGCGUAAAGCGUGCGCAGGCGGUUUUGUAAGUCUGUCGUGAAAGCCCCGGGCUCAACCUGGGAAUUGCGAUGGAGACUGCAAGGCUUGAAUCUGGCAGAGGGGGGUAGAAUUCCACGUGUAGCAGUGAAAUGCGUAGAGAUGUGGAGGAACACCGAUGGCGAAGGCAGCCCCCUGGGUCAAGAUUGACGCUCAUGCACGAAAGCGUGGGGAGCAAACAGG
rnacentral:rRNA from 1 species